ACAUGCCUACAUAGUAACGUUAAUGCAUUGGAUCCUAUUAGAACUCCAUAGUUAAGCGUGCUUAGUAUAGAGUAGUAUUGGGAUGGGUGACCGCUCAGGAAGUGCUAUUAUUUUACAUGCU
rnacentral:rRNA from 1 species